rnacentral:tRNA from 1 species
UAGCUCAGCUGGGAGAGCGCUUGCCUUACAAGCAAGAUGUCAGCAGUUCGAUCCUGUU